CAUUUAUGCUUGAACUUUGUUGUUGCCAUCCAAAUCCAUAAAUAACUAUGAAAUUAUAUGAUACUUAAAACCUUGGGGUCAACAGUUUUCAUUUAGGGUUGUGGAAGGGCAAGUGUUAAGAUGGAUUGAUCUCUUAAGUCGAGAUUAAGGUGUAAAGUCUCGCACAUGCCAAGUUGGGGUUUGAAUGGUCAUCCUAUAUGGCCAAAAUACUCUGAGAAGCUCCUUGUCCAGGAUCCUUUGUGAUCAUUCAAUCAUGAGAAAUAUAGUCUUGUUUAUUGCCUUGACCUGCCCAUUCAUUCUCUUGUGGGUUGGCGACUGGAUCUAAAGUCAGUAGGAUGCCUCCAAUGCGUCAGAAGCGGACCUGUCAUCUAAUCCGGAAGCCUUUGAAGGACCCAGAAAGGGAAUGUGCAAGAAAAAAAGGGAGCAAUCCAAAAGCGGAGCACCCCUACUAGAAGACCCACCCCUCCAGUAUCCUUCAUGAUGCCCAUGGAAAAACUGUCACUCAGGUUCUUGGAUUUCUCAGUUUUUGUAGUCCAAAUUAAUACCUGGAAGUACUUUUCGGGAGGUUUCUUCAAUACCCAUUUCGUGAAAUGGAUGUUUUGUGUGCAUUUUAUUUUUUUCUGUUAUCCAUAUUGAUUUCUAGGAUUGUAAUGAAUGAGAACAGGAAUGUGUUGUGAUGGACGCAUGAAUGGAGAAAGAGGGGUGAUUCGCGCGAGUUGCAGUUUUCUGGAGAGAGAAAAUAAGAUAAGAUAAGACAGGUAAUACUCUUCCUUCGUGGCAUGCGUUUUAGUUGAUGGGCCACAAAACAUGACACCCCAUUGUGGGAAGUGUAUGGAAGGGUGCAGCAUAUGAUCAUGAC